CUAGAUCAGACCUGCCCGGGGGGAUCUGCAGCUAUGCCAAGCCCAGCAAGGCUUCACUUAGCUGGGUAACAUCUGGUGUGGCCUCCCCUGCCUCCUGGACUUCAUGCAGAGUCUCGUCUGCGGGACAGUGAGGACCAGUUUGGCCGGACUCCUCUGAUGUAUUGUGUGCUGGCCGACAGCUUGGACUAUGCAGAGGUGCUGCUUAAGGCCGGCGCAGCCUCAACAAGACUGACCACAGUCAGAGGAUCGCACUGCACAGAAGGGCAAUGUGCGCUUCAUGAAACUCUUACUGUCACACCACACUGAUUGGCGGUUAAAGGAUCUGGAAGAAAUGACCCCAUUACACCUGGCAACCCGACACUCGAGGUCCAAACCUCUGUCUCUGCUCCUCUAGCACAUGGCACCUGGUGAGGUGGACACACAGGACAGGAAUAAGGGACCAAACACAAACUACACAUGCUCUCACACAUUUAGCGAAGCUCGUCUAUAGCUGGAUUGGGUGGGGAUUGGGGUGAAUGCGAGGUUAGGUGGUGUGUGUAUGUGUGUGUUUGUGGUUGUGUAUAUGCCAUAAAGCAGCAGGGGAGCUCUGCACCCUCUGAUGUUUCUCUGGAGGAUAUGAGCUCUGUUUAAAUUGUCUAAUAAAAGAUAUUUUCUCAGAGCUGCUGCGAGAGCUUGCCAGGCGCCUACAAGGCUCAGGAUCUCAUCGCAAUGUUAACCUUAUGUGUGUGUGUGAAGUGACAAUCACUCACUCGCUGCAUGUCUUCCACGAAUCGCAGAGAGAAUACAAACCAACCCAAUUUCACAAUAAAGACAAAAUGCAUGAAAGCCUGUUUUCACCUCUGUGUAAAAACAUAAAGCAGAUCGUUAAAAUUAGAAAUAUAAUCACAAUAAUGAAACUAAAGUUGCAGUUAGAAGAAAAAAAGUCACAAUUGUAAGAAAUAAAGUCAUAAUUGUUACAUAUUUUGAUAAAGUAAAUAUAUAAAUUGUGAGAUCUAAAGUUGCAGUUACAAGAAAUAACACUUGCAACAAAGUCAACAUAUAUAGCUGCAUUUAUUUGAUCAAAAAUACAAAUAAAUUGUAAUAUUGUGAAAUACUUAAUAUUACUUAUAUUUUCAAUAUAAAGUAAAUUUUACCUUUGUUAAUAUGUUUUCGAAUAUCAUUAAUUUCUUUGAUGGCAAUUCUGAAUUUUCAUCAGCCAUUACUCCAGUCUUCAGUGUCUCAUGAUCCUUCAGAAAUCUGGUCAAGAAACAUUUAAUCUUAUCAUCAGUGUUACAACUGACACUUAAUAUUUUUGUGGAAACCAAGAUACUUUUUUUUUAGGACAUUAAAAAUUACAGGUUUUAUUUUAAAUAUUAAGUUUUUCUAACAUUCUGAAUG